AACGAACGCUGGCGGCAUGCCUAACACAUGCAAGUCGAACGCGUGUAGCAAUACACGAGUGGCGGACGGGUGAGUAACGCGUGGGAACCUGCCCAAUGGUAGGGAAUAACUGCGGGAAACUGCAGCUAAUACCCUAUGCUCCCUACGGGGGAAAGAUUUAUCGCCAUUGGAGGGGCCCGCGUCGGAUUAGCUAGUUGGCGGGGUAACGGCCCACCAAGGCUACGAUCCGUAGCUGGUCUGAGAGGAUGAUCAGCCACACUGGGACUGAGAUACGGCCCAGACUCCUACGGGAGGCAGCAGUGGGGAAUAUUGGACAAUGGGGGAAACCCUGAUCCAGCAAUGCCGCGUGAGU
rnacentral:rRNA from 1 species